UACGGGGGGGGCAAGCGUUGUUCGGAAUUACUGGGCGUAAAGGGCGCGUAGGCGGCUCGUCAAGUCGGGCGUGAAAUCUCCGGGCUUAACCCGGAAAAGUCGUUCGAUACUGUUGAGCUAGAGUGUGGAAGAGGCUACUGGAAUUUACGGUGUAGCAGUGAAAUGCGUAGAUAUCGUAAGGAAGACCAGUGGCGAAGGCGAGUCUCUGGACAGUUACUGACGCUGAGGCACGAAGGCCAGGGGAGCAAACGGG
rnacentral:rRNA from 1 species